GUCUACUGCCAUGCUACCGUGAACAAGCCCGAUCCCGUCUGAUCUUGGAAACUAAGCAGGGUCGGGCUUGGUUAGUACUUGGAUGGGAGACCGCCUAGGAAGACCAGGUGCUGUAGGCG
rnacentral:rRNA from 1 species